AUUUAUUAGUCGUUGGGUUUGCAGUUUGGUGGUAUCAUUUUAAGUAUAACCUCAUUACUGUCAGUUAUGUUAUAUAUGCUCUGUAUGAUUGCCAUAUUUUAACUAACCGUUCUUGUGAAACGUGUUUCACUCACUCGAGUAUCUGCUCGUGUUUGUGUUUCAUCAGUACACUCAUGUUUCUCUUCAUAUCGUAUAAAUCUUUCGCCUUUUACUAAAGAUUUCCGUGGGGAGGAACACAAUGAGUAUUAAAUAAUUUUUUGAUGCCCCGCUUUAUUGUGGGGCUUCCUACAGAUGUUUAAAAUCAGAUCUGAAUAUAGUAAUGUUUCAAUAUAGCUUGUAAAUAUAAUGAUGUUCUUAAAAUACGGAAUAGUUACUAUGUCAUGAUAAGUGUAAUGUAGUCUACAAGUGAAUGAUUUGUGAUAAAGUAUGUAGUUUGGUCUUUAUGCUGAUUCUUUGACUGUUUGUAGCGAAUCUGCAGCUUUAAUGUGUUCAAACUGAAAGAAAAGGGAAAGUAACGCUGCAUGUUUUGUUACGAUCUGUUUCUCGUUUCAAUUUAACAUAGUUGUGUUAUUGCCUGUUAUUCGUUGUAUUUAUGUCUGUAACUGUUUACAUGUCUGAUGACCUGCUAAAUGGUGGGGCUUCUGUUGCAGUAAAAAGUAAUAUUUUAUUAAAGUACUUAUCAGGUAUUGCAGUUUGUACAGAGAAGUAUAAUUGUGUGUCAGAUGUUGUUAUACUAACUAUACUAACGAGGAUGAGCUUAUGUUGUUUUGGGUACAUCAGACUGGACCCAUAACACACAUAAUCAUAAGCAUUUUCAUGCCGUUAUUUGCUGUAGCAUCCUCGUUAGUAUAGUGGACAGUAUCUCCGCCUGUCACGCGGAAGACCGGGGUUCGAUUCCCCGACGGGGAGAAUUAUUGUUUUUUACAUUAUUAUUUAAAAGGUCAAUGGUCCGAGGGGGCAAAUCAGAGAUCUUUAAGGUCUACAAAGACGUUAAUGGGCAAUUGCGAACAAACGUGUCCAACUUUACACAAUGCUUUAUCUCUUUUUUUGUGUAUUGUGGGGCAGCAUUACUGGUUUGGAGACAAAGUGGAUCCUCUGCCUUUUUUUUUUUUACUUUGAUCUGUAUAAUUUAAGGUUUAUUUAGAAACUAAUAAUGAACAUUAUGGGAAACAAAAACACCUUUGUUAUUUUAGUUGUGAUCGAUUUGUUUGCAUGCAAUUGCCCAUUAAUGUCCUUUCAGACCUGUAAGAUCUCAGAUUUUCCCAUUCUGCCAAUUGACAUAAAAAAAAAAAUAAAAAAAAACCCCAAAAAACAUAUUUCUCCCCGUCAGGGAAUCGUUUACCAAUAAUUAUCUAGUUCAUCCUGUUUAUGACAUAUUAAAUUGCACAUACUACAGUAAUACUAUUCAACUUAUAAUGCGUAAUGUGUUUUCAGGAUCACCUGCGGCUGCUAAAUGUGAGCCCAAAUAUCCAGCUUUGUAUAUCACCAGCAGGGACACGGGAGAGAGGUUUGGCCUACAGUAUGUGGAGCUUGGCUGUCGCCCACUGCCUCUUGACUUUGACAAACACAAGUGCAGAAAAUCAGCCCUAGGUGAUGUGGAGAUGCAGCAGGAGCUGGAGGCCUCUAAGCAGAAGGGGCAGAGAGAAAGAGGGUGACUGAUGAGAGAGGCAAAAGGAAGUCUCUAGUGGAGCAUCCUUCCGGUCGUCUUUGCAGGGAAUGAAAACAGAGAUGACAUGGACUGACUUUCAGCAGUCUCCAUUCUAUGAAGCUGAGCGGAAAAGGUGGAUAGAGGAGAAAAUAAAAUAAGCCAGAAAAACACAGCAUUUGAAAUCUGUGUUAAACACAUCAGACUGCAACAGUAAAGCCGAGCACAAUGUUGUUAAACAUCCACAAACACACAAUGUAACAUACUGUGUAAUACUGUCAUGUUACAAAAAUCCAUACAAAUCUCAUUUUAUUGGUUGCCUUUAAUAUUUAUCUAUUUAUUUAAUUACUUUAAUGUAUAAUAUUUGUAUGUACAGAGAUUGUAUACUUGCCAAAAGUUUUAAUCCGGAGACAGCACUAGAAAUAAAAACAGCCCAUACAUUCUCUCUACUAUGGAUAUUUUCCCUUUUAUAUUUGAAAGUAUAUUUUUUUAUGUUAAUAAAUGUUUAAUAUUUUGAUCUUGCUUGUAUUUUAAAUGUUUUGCACUUAGUAAGGGUU